ACGAACGCUGCGGCGUGCUUAACACAUGCAAGUCGAACGCGAACGGUUUUCUUCGGAGAACUCAGUAGAGUGGCGCACGGGUGAGUAACGCGUAAGUAAUCUACCCAGGCAUCUGGAAUAACUCAGCGAAAGCUGUGCUAAUACCGGAUACGUUGGAGACAAGAAAGGUGGCCUCUUCUAUGCUACCGUGCUUGGAGGAGCUUGCGUACCAUUAGCUAGUUGGUGGGGUAAUGGCCUACCAAGGCGACGAUGGUUAGCGGGUCUGAGAGGAUGAUCCGCCACACUGGAACUGGAACACGGACCAGACUCCUACGGGAGGCAGCAGUGAGGAAUAUUGCGCAAUGGGGGCAACCCUGACGCAGCGACGCCGCGUGGAUGAUGAAGGCCUUCGGGUCGUAAAAUCCUGUCAGAAGGGAAGAAAUGUAUAGUACUUAAUACGUUCUAUAUUUGACGGUACCUUCAAAGGAAGCACCGGCUAACUCCGUGCCAGCAGCCGCGGUAAU
rnacentral:rRNA from 1 species